rnacentral:rRNA from 1 species
UAAGGAAUAUUGGUCAAUGGACGCAAGUCUGAACCAGCCAUGCCGCGUGAAGGAUGAAGGUCCUCUGGAUUGUAAACUUCUUUUAUCUGGGACGAAAACGGGAUUUUUAUCUCAAUUGACGGUACCAGAGGAAUAAGCACCGGCUAACUCCGUGCCAGCAGCCGCGGUAAUACGGAGGGUGCGAGCGUUAUCCGGAUUUACUGGGUUUAAAGGGUGCGUAGGUGGGCUUAUAAGUCAGUGGUGAAAUCUCCGAGCUUAACUUGGAAACUGCCGUUGAUACUAUAGGUCUUGAAUUAUCUGGAGGUAAGCGGAAUAUGUCAUGUAGCGGUGAAAUGCGUAGAUAUGACAUAGAACACCAAUUGCGAAGGCAGCUUACUACAUAUAAAUUGACGCUGAGGCACGAAAGCGUGGGGAUCAAA